CGCUUCUGAUAAGAAGCCAAGCUCGCUCCCAUCCUCUCAGGCCACGGAUCCCUGUGAUGAAUUCUGAGUUGCGUAAAGUAGUGGGCAGCUGACACGGAUGGGAGUCCAGCUGAGGUCCCAUUCCAAAGCGCUGCCUGGCAUCCAUCAGUGAAGGACACCCAGCGCCACUGGGAGGCGGGGAGCACGUGACGUGGUUUUGCGGGGAUGGCAGUUGUCAGCACCAGGCCAAGGGCUGAUCCUGCCCUGAGGGGUGGCACUUACCUGACAUCAGGGUUGCGAAGAGCAAGGCGCAUGGUGCACAGGCCGGUCCCUCCGAUUCCAAUCAAGACGAACAGAGGAAUCAGCUGUGAUAAACCGAACGUUUUGAGAUCAAAAGCCGAAGUUGAAAACCGGAAUAAGUCGCCUAAGACAGUGUGCGUGGGAGAGGUCAACUACGAAUGACACCAGAUUCAGGUGGAAGGCCAUGUUGAUCUGUCAUAGUCAUAAUAAAUAACAAGAUGAAAAGAACUUUUUAAAUAAUUCCAGUGGCACCUUAAAGAUCAACUCAAUAUAAGUUUUCAAGGUAUGAGCUUUUGUGUGUAAUACACACUUUGUCAGAUACUUCAGCCUUAGAACUCUUGAAGACUGUUACGGCAGUUGGUUCCACAGGGAAGGGCAAGGGAUUCUUAAAGGGAUAGAUGACCAAAAUUAGCUUUAGGAUGUAUAAUGGGACAUGAAUCCAAUAUCUCCAUUCAGACCAGGUCUCUCCAUAGUUUUUAGUUUGGUAAUGAGUUGUAAUUCAGCAACUUCUCUUUCAAGUGUAUUUCUAAAAUUCUUCUGCAAUAAGACAGCUACUUUAAGAUCUUGUAUAGAAUGCAAUUAGAAGCUAAUUUUGGUCAUCUAUCCCUUUAAGAAUCCCUGGCCCUUCCCUGUGCCUCCCCAGCUGCUGCCAUUGUCUGUGGCUUGACUGUGAUGCCACAAACACAUUUGGCAGCUGAGCGGGUAUAAAUGUGGGCCAAGGCGCAAGCCUCGGCAGUUGCCCUCCCCAGAGAGAAAUGGGCAGCUCGGUGGCACUCAGCCCUGGUGGUCUCCUGCCCCGUGGCAGCAAGCUGAAAAGCAGAAGGAGGCAAUCGCCUGGUGCUGGGAUGCUGUGGAGCAAGGAGAACAAAGUUGACUUGCUGGUGGGAUCGCUACCUGAAGGCGACGGAUACUCAGCUCUGAAGCUGGUUGAUAUCUGGCAAUGGACCUGGCGAGGCUGCAGCUGGUGGGUGGUUGUUGGAAGAGUUUGCGUUCAGGCUAGUGGAUGCCGUGAGGCUAUGCUGGCUGAGAUGGAUGCAAAGUGGUUUGGAAGCCUUGUUUGUUAACAGGCAGCCAAACAGAGGAGGAGUCUGGGGGGACGCUGUUGGAUGGGGGCCAUCCCACUCACCUGUUUGCCUUUGCCUUACAGGGAUGUCCGGAGCCGGUGAGGUUUUCCCCAAGUCCACAGUCAUGAAGAGAACCGCAGGACGUCCCUAUUUACAUUGGAGAAAUGAAUGCGAAAUACUGGCAGCGAACAAUGGACAAGGCCGUGGCCGUACCUGAGAGAAGGAGCUUUGAAGGAAGACUGCAGGCGGACAUCUGCUGCAUUGCAAGUGAUGGGGCAGUGGGGAGAGAGAAGAAAAUGAGGGAGGAAACAUUAGGGCACAUUAGGCGCACCGUCCACUGGAAGUGCUAUGAAGACGCUUUGAACAGGGAUGGCUUCCCCUCAGGGAUUCUGGGAACUGUAGGUGGUUAAGGGGACAGAGAGUUGUUAGGCGGGUUAGGUUUAGGUUUAGGCUUAGGGUUAGGGUUAGGGUUAGGAUUAGUCUUAGGUUUAGGGUAGGGGUAGGGGUAGGGAUAGGGUUAGGAGUAGGGUAGGGGUAGGGGUAGGGUUGAGUUGGGGUAGUGUUAGGGUUAGGGUUCCCUUCUUGUCAGGGAACUUUGGGAAUUGUAGUUCUAGUUAAGGGUUAGGGUUAGAGUUAGCGUCAGGGGUAGGGUUCCCUUCUUGUCAGGGAACUCUGGGAAUUUUAGCUCUGGUUAGGGAGUAGGGUUGGGGUUCCCUUCUUACCAGGGAACUCUGGGAAUUGUUGCUCUAGUUAAAGGUUAAGGGUUAGCGUUAGGGUUAGAGUUAGGGUUAGGGUUAGCGUUAGCGUCAGGGGUAGGGGUAGGGGUAGAGUUCCCUUUUUGCCAGGGAACUCUGGGAUUGUAGCUCUGGGAGGGGAACAGGGGGUCUCCUAACAACUCUCUGCACCCUUUUCAGACUAUAGCUCCCAGAUUCUUUGGGGGAAGAAGCCAUGAGUGUUUAAAGCGGCUUCAUAGCACAUGAAAUGGUGUACAUGUGGCCCUGGCCUCCCUCACCCCACUGCCCCUUAUUAUUGAGGAAUUGAAAAGAUUUCCCCAUGCAAAUCUCUCAGAAACAAUGUAUUUCAUCUGGAAAACUAUUUAAUAAAGAUUACUUUUUAUUAAUAAAAUGAA